rnacentral:rRNA from 1 species
UUCGAUGCAACGCGAAAACCUUACCACCUUGACAUGUACGGAAUCCUUUAGAGAUAGAGGAGUGCUCGAAAGAGAGCCGUAACACAGGUGCUGCAUGGCUGUCGUCAGCUCGUGUCGUGAGAUGUUGGGUUAAGUCCCGCAACGAGCGCAACCCUUGUCAUUAGUUGCUACAUUCAGUUGGGCACUCUAAUGAGACUGCCGGUGACAAACCGGAGGAAGGUGGGGAUGACGUCAAGUCCUCAUGGCCCUUAUAGGUGGGGCUACACACGUCAUACAAUGGAUGGUACAAAGGGUCGCCAACCCGCGAGGGGGAGCCAAUCCCAUAAAGCCAUUCGUAGUCCGGAUCGCAGUCUGCAACUCGACUGCGUGAAGUCGGAAUCGCUAGUAAUCGUGGAUCAGCAUGUCACGGUGAAUACGUUCCCGGGUCUU